AUUGAACGCUGGCGGCAGGCUUAACACAUGCAAGUCGAGCGGGGUGAUGGUGCUUGCACUAUCACUUAGCGGCGGACGGGUGAGUAAUGCUUAGGAAUCUGCCUAUUAGUGGGGGACAACAUCUCGAAAGGGAUGCUAAUACCGCAUACGUCCUACGGGAGAAAGCAGGGGAUCACUUGUGACCUUGCGCUAAUAGAUGAGCCUAAGUCGGAUUAGCUAGUUGGUGGGGUAAAGGCCUACCAAGGCGACGAUCUGUAGCGGGUCUGAGAGGAUGAUCAGACACACUGGAACGGAGAGACGGUCCAGACGCCUACGGGAGGCAGCAGUGGGGAAUUUUGGAAAAUGGGGGCAACCCUGAUCCAGCCAUGCCGCGUGAGUGAAGAAGGCCUUCGGGUUGUAAAGCUCUUUCGGCCGGGAAGAAAUCGCACGGGCUAAUACCCUGUGUGGAUGACGGUACCGGAAUAAGAAGCACCGGCUAACUACGUGCCAGCCGCCGCGGUAA
rnacentral:rRNA from 1 species